rnacentral:rRNA from 1 species
GUGGCCCAACGGCGGUCGGCGGAAACGUCUGUACUGCCGGUUUUCGGACUACCUCUUUCUGGGGGAACGUCGGCCCUUAACUGGGCUCGGCGGGUAACCAGGACGUUUACUUUGAAAAAAUUAGAGUGUUUAAAGCGGGCAUUUGCUUGAAUACAUUAGCAUGGAAUAAUGAAAUAGGACGGACGGUUCUAUUUUGUUGGUUAUGGGACCACCGUA